rnacentral:rRNA from 1 species
CACGCAGGCGGUCGGAUAAGUCAGAUGUGAAAGCCCCGGGCUCAACCUGGGAACUGCAUUUGAAACUGUCCGACUAGAGUCUUGUAGAGGGGGUAGAAUUCCAGGUGUAGCGGUGAAAUGCGUAGAGAUCUGGAGGAAUACCGGUGGCGAAGGCGGCCCCCUCGGACAAAGACUGACGCUCAGGUGCGAAAGCGUGGGGAGCAAACA